rnacentral:rRNA from 1 species
GAUGAACGCUAGCGGCAGGCUUAAUACAUGCAAGUCGUGGGGCAGCAGGGUUGUAGCAAUACAAUCGCUGGCGACCGGCAAACGGGUGCGUAACACGUACGCAACCUUCCCGUUACUGUGGCAUAGCCCAGGGAAACUUGGAUUAAUACCACAUAUUAUAUUGAGGGGGCAUCCCUUUGAUAUCAAAGCUUCGGCGGUAACGUAAGGGCGUGCGGUUGAUUAGGUAGUUGGCGGGGUAACGGCCCACCAAGCCUACGAUCAAUAGCUGAUGUGAAAGCAUGAUCAGCCACACGGGCACUGAGACACGGGCCCGACUCCUACGGGAGGCAGCAGUAAGGAAUAUUGGGCAAUGGACGAAAGUCUGACCCAGCCAUGCCGCGCGAAGGAUUAAGGUCCUCUGGAUUGUAAACUUCUUUUCUCUGGGGCGAAAACCAGCUAUUCUUAGCUAUUUGACAGUACCAGAGGAAUAAGCACCGGCUAACUCCGUGCCAGCAGCCGCCGUAAGAC